AUGCACAGUGAACACCCAGGGGUGCUAAUGUGGUUCCCCCUGGUCUUUUUGCAUCUGUGCUACAGUAACUCUGAUCUGUACCUCUGCAUUAGAAGAGCUCAUUCCUCUACUACAUGUAUUCAACGGAUCAGAAUAAUC